AAGGAGAGAGAGAGAGAGAGAGAGAGAGAGAGAGAGAGAGAGAGCGCCCUAGGUUAGCUACAGAGCAUCACAUAAAGUGUAAGUGGUAGCACAUGACCCUAACUCCUGCAUUGGAGAAGUGUGGACAGGAGGAUCAGGAGUUCAAGGUCAUCUUCAGCGACAUAAUGAGUUGAAGGUCGCCAGACAGAGUGUGCUGUCUGCGGAGGGAGAGAGAGGCUCUGCAUCCCUGUUAACAGGAGAGGAGGAAAGGCUUUGGCCCCCUUUCACAGGGACAUGGAUCAGACAUGAGAGAGGAAGACCGCCUGAAUCUUGGCUGCAGACAGGAAGGAAAAGAAAAAUCAAGAAGACCAAACAGGACAGACAGGAGCCUAGCAUGACUGUCUCCUGAGAAGCUUCACCCAGCAGCAGAUGGAAACAGAUGGAGACCCACAGCCAAACAUCAGAUGGAGCUCGGGAGUCUUGUGGAAGAGCUGGGGAUAGAAGUGAGACAGCUGGAGGGGUCAAGGAUCAUCUCAUGAAGAUCUAGAGUCUAACAUAGGCCCAUGGGAGCUUACAGAGAAUGAACCACCAACCAAAGAGCAUGCAGGGGUUGGACCUAGGUCCCCUACAUAUUUAGCAGAUGUGCAGUUUGAUCUUCAUGUGGGUCCCCUAAGAAUUGGAGUGGGGGCUGUCUCUGACUCUGUGGCCUGCCACUGGAUCCCAUUUCCCUACCUGGACUGCUUGGUUGGGCCUCAGUGGGAGAGGAUGUGCUUAGUCCUAUUGAAACAAGAUGUCCUAGGGCCUGGGACCUUGAAUAUAGUUUCUACUGAUGAAUGAAUGAAGUGUGAAAACGAAAUGGUAGUACUUAGAAUAAGUUUCUUUUGCUUGUUCCCAACACCCCACCUAUAAAAUUAUUUUCAUUGCUAUUUCAUAAGCGUAAUUUUGCUACUGUUGUAAAGUGUAAUAUAAGCAUCUGUUUUCUGAUAGUCUUAGGCAA